UUCUCCCUGACUCCUUGAGAGUCCUGAAGGAACGUUGAAGACGACGACGUUGAUAGGCCGGGUGUGUAAGCGCAGCGAUGCGUUGAGCUAACCGGUACUAAUGAACCGUGAGGCUUAACCUUACAACGCCGAAGCUGUU
rnacentral:rRNA from 1 species